AAGCAGUUCCAUUGGGAAAUGCUGGUUCUUUCUGAAAGCACAUGGCCAGCCACAAUGUCCCGAGAUGGCUGCCUACACACCAAUAUUAUAAAAUGUCAUGACAGAAUUCCUUUAGAGGGGGCAGUACCAGGAUUGUUCUUAUAAGUGGGCCAAUCAUUUUGUAAUAUAUUUGCUAUUACUUCCCAUUCUUUAUGUGCCUCCCAUUAGUAUGCUCCACCAAAUUUUCUAAAAGUUUGCUUUACUGGCUAAUUACUUUAAAAUGCCUCCUCACAGGGCCAGAGUUACAUUGAUCCAUUGAUUCGACUUAUUGGAAGUUAAUCUGUCCAUGAUUGUGACAGCAAUUUGACAAGGCCGAAGCAGAAGGUCAGACACACAAGUGUAAGGAGCUCCCAGUAAUGAGAAUCACUGUACAAUUUGAGUGAGCAACAAAAAGGAGAGCAGAACGAAACACAGCUGACUGUUCCUUACCCAUACUGACACAGGCGUUGAACGAAGGUGAAACGCAUCAGGAUGCACAGGGUGAAAACACCCAUCUGUAUGAGCCCUUAAACAGGGGGAAAUCACAAAAUUGUACUUGUACAUGCAUUAAAAAACUCCUAAAUGCAAUGCUGUAUAUGUAUUUUGAUAUGUUCAUGCAUGCAUAUCCACAUUCGUGUCUGUAAGAGUCCUAAGUCUUUAGACAUCAGCUCUAACUACAGUAAUUCGUGUAAUAGUAUAAUUGAACUGUUGAGAGCGAAGCAUUUUACAGCACACUAACAACUCAUUUGGAUUGCAUCAUUUAUUGAAAAAAGAAAGGAAGGUUUGCCAGACAAUGGUAUUAACUAAUUGCCCACCACACUAUGUAGUUGCAACUAGCCAGAAAGGCAUUUACCAGUUUGCACAUGCAAAUUGGUAGUGGGAGAUUCAGUUAGAUCCCUUUUCAUUGACAUGCUAAUGUGCUGUACUUUGCCCCACGUAUGCUCCGGGAAAGAAUUUACGUUGAGUGUGUAGAACAGAUGUCUCCUUUGUUUUUCAUUUGAGAUGAUGCCAGUGAGGGUAAACAAUGUACACACUUCCAAAUAGAAUAAAGCCUGAACAUAGUAUUCACAAAAGUGUAGGAAACUAAAACUGGAGUAAGAGGAGUCUAUGAUGUUAGGAGCCAUACACACAGACAUUUAUGCUUGCCCCUGUACUCACAGCACUGUGCUGAACCAGCAAAUCCAGGUGUGAUGCAAAAUGAAGUCUGCAGUCAGAGGAAGAGCACAGUGUUGUGAGUACAGGCAAUAUAGAGAAGAAUGGGCUCUGAAAAUGCACGUGGGUUCCUGUGAGUGUAAAAAUUAAUACAAUAAUAACCACCUUUGUAUGAGGGCCCUAUGAGUUUACAAAAAGAAAGUGAACACCAAAAAAAUCUUACUCCAGUUUCAAGAAUUCAUUUUUAUGAAUUUAAGGAAUUACAGUUUUUUUGGUGUGUGUCAUUAACACUUGUUAACAAUGUCAUAUUCAUAAAGAUUGAGAUGAAUUGGUAAAGCUGACUUACACUAACCUUUUGAAGGGAAAUCACAAAAAAAGAGCACAUAACUUGGACUAAGAAAUUGUAUUGGGCUCAAAUUGAGUUAAAAGACUAAAGCUGUCCAUAGACGCAAAGAUCCGAUCGUUCGAAUCUUCGAACUAUCGGACUUCCCCAUCUCCCGACCUGCCACUAACCAUUCAGAUCAAAUAAAGUAGUAAAAGAACAGAUCAGCUGAUGUUCUGCCCCUGAUAGCAAUCGUAAAAAAGUACUGAAAAUCAACAGACAAAAUUGGUGUAAGUUUUUUUGGAGGUAUCAAUGCCAUUUUGCUGCAGUUAAUAACGUUGCAUUCAAAAAGAUGGCAUUAAACUGGCAAAAUUGCUUUACUAUACCUUUUUCAUAAAAUCAAAAAAACAUUUUGCAGUAGGGUGGUGCAGAAUUUUUUAUUUAGAUAUUUGUGAUUGAUUUCAUGGUGUAAACAAACAUGUUACACUAAAUAAAGAUAUUUUGUCUGUGAG